rnacentral:pre_miRNA from 1 species
UGUAACUACAGUUUUACACUGUCUAUAUCUAAUGUUUAACUGUCCGUCUUAUUUUUUUUUUUUUAAGAUUAGUAAUUUUAUGGGUAUAGAUGAUAAAACUUGAAUAAUAAUUUAUAUGUGACUAUUUUUUUAAUUUUUUUUAUAAUUUUAAAUAAAAUAGACGUUUAAACGUUAGACAAAAAAUCCACUUCUGUACUUAAA